rnacentral:rRNA from 1 species
CGCGGCUUCCUAGCAUAUCAAUAAGCGGAGGAAAAGAAACCCAACAGGGAUUGCCUCAGUAACGGCGAGUGAAGCGGCAAGAGCUCAAAUUUGAAAGCUGGCCCCUUUCGGGGUCCGCGUUGUAAUUUGCAGAGGAUGCUUCGGGUGCAGCCCCCGUCUAAGUGCCCUGGAACGGGCCGUCAUAGAGGGUGAGAAUCCCGUCUGGGACGGGGUGUCUGCGUCCGUGUGAAGCUCCUUCGACGAGUCGAGUUGUUUGGGAAUGCAGCUCUAAAUGGGUGGUAAAUUUCAUCUAAAGCUAAAUACUGGCCGGAGACCGAUAGCGCACAAGUAGAGUGAUCGAAAGAUGAAAAGCACUUUGAAAAGAGAGUUAAACAGCACGUGAAAUUGUUGAAAGGGAAGCGUUUGCGACCAGACUCGCCCGCGGGGUUCAGCCGGCAUUCGUGCCGGUGUACUUCCCCGUGGGCGGGCCAGCGUCGGUUUGGGCGGCCGGUCAAAGGCCCUCGGAAUGUAUCACCUCUCGGGGUGUCUUAUAGCCGAGGGUGCAAUGCGGCCUGCCUGGACCGAGGAACGCGCUUCGGCUCGGACGCUGGCGUAAUGGUCGUAAAUGACCCGUCUUGAAACACGGACCAAGGAGUCUAACAUCUACGCGAGUGUUCGGGUGUCAAACCCGUACGCGCAGUGAAAGCGAACGGAGGUGGGAGCCCCCUCGCGGGGCGCACCAUCGACCGAUCCUGAUGUCUUCGGAUGGAUUUGAGUACGAGCGUAGCUGUGGGGACCCGAAAGAUGGUGAAACUAUGCCUGAAUAGGGCGAAGGCCAGAGGAAACUCUGGGUGGGAGGCUCGCAGCGGUUCUGACGUGCAAAUCGAUCGUCAAAUUUGGGGUAUAGGGGGCGAAAGACUAAUCGAACCAUCUAGUAGCUGGUUCCUGCCGAUCU